GACAGAGGGGGCAAGCGUUGCUCGGAAUUACUGGGCGUAAAGGGCGCGUAGGCGGGAUGGCAAGUCGGUCGUGAAAUCCCUCGGCUCAACCGAGGAACGUCGAUCGAUACUGCUAUUCUUGAGGAUUGCAGAGGAGACUGGAAUUCCCGGUGUAGCGGUGAAAUGUGUAGAGAUCGGGAGGAACACCGGUGGCGAAGGCGGGUCUCUGGGCAAUUCCUGACGCUGAGGCGCGAAAGCGUGGGGAGCAAACGGG
rnacentral:rRNA from 1 species